UCCGGAUAGGCUAUAAUAAUACAAUAUUAACAAAAUAACACUAUGCCCACAAUCAUAAAUAUAAAAAAGCCCCUAAUUAAACACAAAUCACAAGCAUUAAAAGCAGACCUAAGCCUAACUAAUCAAAACCCAACAGAUAGGAAAUCCAAAAUGCCCAAUCUAAACCAAGAGCAAGAAUCGGGUCAUCACUCUUUCAAUCACCAAGGGAUGCCCUAGCUGCUGCUUGUAGCUUCCACCGCAUCUCCAUCACCGAAAGAAGAACCAGUGACUCCAUUACUGAGAAAACCUCCUCAACCAUUGAUUCUGGCAAACUGAAACUCAUAUGAGGCAAGAAGAGACCACCAAGCAUUGAGAAAGAGAGGUGCAGUUGUUUAAUCAGGGGCUAACAACAUCUCCAACCAAGACUUGAAAAAGCUACUUCAAACUAGAGAUCCAGAUGCAGAAGUAGUCUCUAGAUGACUAUGGUGGUGAAGACCAAAGCAGGGCCAAAUCGGGAGCAACAAAACAACCAAGGAGAGUGCAAGGAAACAUCCUACGGCCAAAGCCUACAUCAAAGAGGUUCCCAACAAAAG
rnacentral:misc_RNA from 1 species